rnacentral:sRNA from 1 species
GGGUGCUUUUGCUGUACUUUGCCGUUGCCAUAGCAAUGCAGUUGCCUUGGUGACAAAAGGCUAACUAUUCAGAGCCUAAAUUUGGCUUUUGAGUUCUUCUUCCCACCUUUUCCUCCAGAUGUCCAAAGCGAAACCAGUCCUUUUCGGUUUUUGCAAGGCGAACCAUUUCACUGGUUUAUUCACCCACUUUCCAUGUCUUUUUUAGAACCUACUUCGACUUAUUCCUUCUCCAUGGGCUCCUCCUGACUUCUAGGCAGGUGACUGAUGGGAGGAGGCGCCAACAGCAGAAAUCCUCAAAGCUCCUGUGAAGGCUUCUCUUGGCCACAUCUGGUGGCAGCCCACAUGGAAGAAGGAAGCCAUUGCUCUUUGCCUGCUUGCCUUCACCCUCACUGACAAGUUCGUGUGUCCUGUUCCUGAGGGAAUCCUUUGUGCUGGUGCUAGUGCCUACUUCGUGGGACUUCACCCUAGAUGGAAACGGGCAGCCCUCUAGAUCUUCUCAGUCCUCUGACACCAAUCUGGACUGCUGCGACAGCCAGUGAACCAAACCACCAGAUCCUGAUCUUUCUUUCCCUCCAGAAGUCCCAUUGUUGGACUACUCAAACCAAAGUCUGUAAGUCACUUGAAUAAAUCUCAUAUAAAAUA